ensembl:lncRNA
AGAAGAGUCUCUAGCAUUUAACCAGCCAUAGUUUAUCCUUCUACCUGGCCUCUAUGCUUCGCACGAUGUCAACAAAGACAUGCAGUCUGGCACCGUUAACGCACAGGCUUUUGUGUUUUGUAGCAUAUAUCUUUCUCAAACGUCGACCAAUGAAUUUUAAACUUGCUAGGUUGAGAGCACACAAGCCACACUUCAGACGAACAAUCACCGUUAGACGCACAUACAGGACACAGCAACAGUGCGCACCACCCCCACAAAUCUUCACAUAGCUGUCGCUGCUCAAGCAACUAUACUCAGCAUUUAAAGUAGAAAUGGCUACUCCUAAAUGGAAAAGCAAUAUAGGAGACCAAUUUGGACUAGAUUUUUUGAAGAAAUCAUGGACUGUGAGUCAAGCAACUUGUGAUUCAGGAGGUCCCUUUGGCUCUUGACCCCCACCCCACUGUGAUGCCAUCAUCUGGCUGGGCAUUUCAGAGCUUUCCCAGAAGUCGAUAAGUCUCCCCCUUCUUUCUCCUAUUCCCUUCUAAUCUUUUCUACUCCUACCAACUGUUUGCUUAUUAUCUAUGUGCGUAAGAAGGCAUAGAUACCACAUAUGAUCUAACAUCAUAUGGGGUGAUCUAACAUAUGAUGCAAACAUCACAUAUGAUGUUAGAUCACCACAUACGAUGCAAAAACCACCUAUGUUAGAUCACCACAUAUGAUGCAAACACCAAUUAUGCUGUUAGAUCACAUAUGAUGCAAACACCUUUAGUACCUUUAUGAAGAGAAGCUAAUUUUCCAUCAUGUAUAACAUUCCUGGGAGUGUGUAACCAUUAUUUUAAUGACCUUUGCACUGUUGUUUGUUCUGGGUAGGUAUGAACUUAUGAAAAUUCAUAAUGUGUCCAAAGUGUUCAAUUUGGCACAAAGUGGCCAAUCUGGAAAGGACACUUUGGCCUUGCUUUACAAAUGAGCUUUGGCUAGUUGGCUGAAAGAACUCUUGGCUGAAGAGAAGUAGCAGUUUGCCGGGGCAAUUGAGGACAUGAUGUCUGAUGUGGAGACUGACCCGGUGGAUUUUUGGUUUCCUCUCUGAGUAGGCAGUCUGCAGAGUUUGAGUACUUGAUUAACCGCUCUUAUGGGGAGAAUAGGCAUCGCCAAAACUAAAACCGCUCCACUCGUCCACAACCACCACAGCCCUAUCCUGGACACCUGAUUGCUCAGGACAUUUUAAGAGAAGGGAAGCUGUGGUUCACCUGGCAACUGAAGACAUGAUGUCUGGUGUGGAUACUGGAUUUUUGGUUUCCUUAUCAAAUUAGCUGACCAGUGUUAUAGAAAUUUGUUGGGCUGAUGUAUUAGUGAAUUCUAAAGAAUUACUGUUUUAAGAGUUUAGUACAAUUUUAGUACAAUGCUAAAAAUGUCUGUAAAUAAUUAGACUUGCACAAAAAGUAUCUGUUCAGGAUGUGUAAGAUCACAACUGUGCAAUCCAACUGACACUGAUGUUGGUUACUUGGUCUGAAAUAAAAACAAAGAGGGUUAACAGAAGACCAAGCGUAUACAGGUAUUUAAAGCUGUUGAUUA